rnacentral:rRNA from 1 species
UACAGAGGUCUCAAGCGUUGUUCGGAUUCAUUGGGCGUAGAGGGUGCGUAGGCGGCGCGGUAAGUCGGGUGUGAAAUUUCGGAGCUUAACUCCGAAACUGCAUUCGAUACUGCGGUGCUUGAGGACUGGAGAGGAGACUGGAAUUCAUGGUGUAGCAGUGAAAUGCGUAGAGAUCAUGAGGAAGACCAGUGGCGAAGGCGGGUCUCUGGACAGUUCCUGACACUGAGGCACGAAGGCCAGGGGAGCAAACGGGG